UAGGAAUUGGCGGGGGAGCACAGCAACGGGAGGAGCGUGCGGUUCAAUUGGAUUCAACGCCGUAAAACUCACCGGGAGCGACGAUUACAUGAAGGUCAGGCCGACGACUUUACCUGAUUUUUCGAGAGGUGGUGCAUGGCCGUCGUCAGUUCGUACCGUAAGGCGUUCUGUUAAGUCAGAUAACGAACGAGACCCUCGCCCUUAAUUGCCACCCCAUUCUCCGGAGUGGGCGCACAUUAGGGGGACCGCUGGCGCUAAGUCAGAGUAAGGAGAGGUCAACGGUAGGUCAGUAUGCCCCGAAUCUCCCGGGCUACACGCGCGCUACAAAGGACAGGACAAUGGGAUGCGAUACCGAGAGGUAAAGCCAACCCCGAAACCUGUUCGUAGUUCGGACUGAGGGCUGUAACUCGCCCUCACGAAGCUGGAUUCCGCAGUAAUCGCGGGUCAACAUCCCGCGGUGAAUAUGCCCCUGCUCUUUGCACAC
rnacentral:rRNA from 1 species